rnacentral:snRNA from 1 species
AAGUGUUAAAGCUUUUAGAAAUUGUCUAGUAGGUCUUCUGCCUUUAGAAGACCCUU